UAACUGAAUCCAUAGGUUAAUGAGGCGAACCGGGGGAACUGAAACAUCUAAGUACCCCGAGGAAAAGAAAUCAACCGAGAUUCCCCCAGUAGCGGCGAGCGAACGGGGAGGAGCCCAGAGCCUGAAUCAGCAUGUGUGUUAGUGGAAGCGUCUGGAAAGGCGCGCGAUACAGGGUGACAGCCCCGUACACAAAAGCGCAUGUGCUGUGAGCUCGAUGAGUAGGGCGGGACACGUGGUAUCCUGUCUGAAUAUGGGGGGACCAUCCUCCAAGGCUAAAUACUCCUGACUGACCGAUAGUGAACCAGUACCGUGAGGGAAAGGCGAAAAGAACCCCGGCGAGGGGAGUGAAAAAGAACCUGAAACCGUGUACGUACAAGCAGUGGGAGCACCCUUCGGGGUGUGACUGCGUACCUUUUGUAUAAUGGGUCAGCGACUUAUAUUCUGUAGCAAGGUUAACCG
rnacentral:rRNA from 1 species